rnacentral:rRNA from 1 species
AACUUGCCCUUGGGAGGGGGACAACAACUGGAAACGGCUGCUAAUACCCCGUAAGCUGAGGAGCAAAAGGGAGGGAUCCGCCCAAGGAGGGGCUUGCGUCUGAUUAGCUGGUUGGUGAGGCAAUGGCUUACCAAGGCGACGAUCAGUAGCUGGUCUGAGAGGAUGAUCAGCCACACUGGGGCUGAGACACGGCCCAGACUCCGUAGGGAGGCAGCAGUGGGGAAUCUUCCGCAAUGGGCGAAAGCCUGACGGAGCAAUGCCGCGUGGAGGCA